AAGCCACUCAGUAGCAGAUGAUCAAGUGUCAGGCGCAAUUUGCGCUUGCGAUAGCAAGGCAGUCUAACCUAUUCCGGUGCUCUCUUCUCCAUGAGACAAGCCAUUAUAUAGACUUCAACAGC